AAUCAAAAUGAGAAAGCUUUCCGUAAACAACUCAACUAGUACUUCUAUGCUGACACGACUUGAUUGUUUACGUGCGGAAAACUUAUUUGUAGCUGAAAUAGAAAGUGUCUGUCAUUAAAUUUUCUAUUGAAAUGGAAUCUGGAUUAAUGGAACCAACAUUGUAUUCAGUAGAAGCAAUAGCCAUUUUAGAUAAUGAUGGAAAUAGAAUACUGGCUAAAUAUUAUGGUAAAACAUUCCCUACUGCUAAGGAGCAAAAAGCUUUUGAAAAGAAUUUAUA